CGGAUCGGAGUCUGCAACCCGACUCCGUGAAGCUGGAUUCGCUAGUAAUCGCGCAUCAGCCAUGGCGCGGUGAAUACGUUCCCGGGCCUUGUACACACCGCCCGUCAAGCCAUGGGAGCCGGGGGGUGCUUGAAGUGCGUCGCCGCAAGGCGCGCCCUAGAGCAAAACCGGUGACUGGGGCUAAGUCGUAACAAGGUACC
rnacentral:rRNA from 1 species